CACGCCCUAAACGAUGAUAACUUAGUGUUGGGAGUAAUCUCAGUGCUGAAGCUAACGCGAUAAGUUAUCCACCUGAGGAGUACGGUCGCAAGAUUAAAACUCAAAGGAAUAGACGGGGACCCACACAAGCAGUGGAUCACGUGGUUUAAUUCGACAAUAAACGGGGAACCUUACCCAGACUUGACAUCUACAGAACGCUGCGGAAACGCGGAAGUGCCCGAAAGGGAGCUGUAAGACAGGUGC
rnacentral:rRNA from 1 species